CCAACAGGCCAAACUAGUGGAUUAGAUAUGGAGUUUAGAAUUUUUCAUCAUGAUGAAGAUAAAAACUCACGCCCACCCCAGCCGCUUAUUCCCGCCGCCUGCCUCCCCGCUCUCUCUCUCUCUCUCUCGGCGAAACAAUCGACGCCGCCAGGUCUUGCCCCGGUCUCCGUCGAGCCCAUCUCCGGCAAAGCGCACCACCAGGCCAGGUGCAGCUUACCUAGCUUUCAGGGAAAAAAAAGAAGAAGCAAAAGGCCUCUAUGUCCCCCAUCAAGUCCAGUGUCAGCCAAGGCUAUCAGAAUGCCAGUGUAGCCAUGAUAUUUGGCCCGACCCUGUCUCUUUGUUGUGCUCGUAGACAUCGAGGGGCUCGAUCGCAGCCCCUCGCCACCUGUGCCACCAGCUUUCCACCUCACAGUUGAUGCACAAGUUAGGAUCCCGGUCUCAGGGUGCUGUAACAGAAUUGGAGCCUUGGAGGUGGCAACUCAAUGCUGCGUGUCUCCUAUCACGGCAUGCUCUUGGCGUGGGGCCACGUGCCAACAUUCUGUGUGUGUGGCGGCGUGGCCAACGUGGAAGCCAAGGAUGAGGCUGUCCUGCUACGCGACGAGGUGCGUGCUUUGAUUCAGAGUGAGCAGCAUGUUGUGGGGAAGGCUGAGUUUGACGUUGAGGGAGAGGUGGCGGGGUUGGGAUAUCUUCACUGCAAGGCUUCCUGCUCCAAGGCUACCCUGCGAAGGGCUCCAAGGGCCCAUGCCAAGUUCACUACUACCAAUAGUUUGAACUUUGAAGCUUCCCCUCCCGGUUCCCUGACUGGUAGAGAUGAGAGCUGCCUCUCAGCUCUAGCUAGAUGUUUGGAUCAGAGUGUUUCCAAACAACAAAUUUGUACUCCUAGAUUAGCUAGAUUGAUGUAUAAUAUAGCUUUGCUAAUAGAGAAAAGAGUGUAAAGGUGUGCAGGGAUGGAUGAUUGGAAAGUUUGUGAGCGGGAACAACUCCAUGUCUAAAAUAAUCAGAAUGUGGUUUUAGUUUAUUUGGUUCGUGACUAAAAUUUUGUAUAUUACAUAUAUAUGGAGCAUUGUUUAGGGUGGCCGAUAA